rnacentral:rRNA from 5 species
UCCGUAGGGGUGAACCUGCGGAGGGAUCAUUA